CUAAAUGGACUUAGGUCACACACACACACACACACACACACACACACACGUAAAAAUAGUAAUAAGGGAAAAGAGAUCUUGAAUGUGAGAGGAGAGAAGAGGAACCUGGGAGGAGUUAACUGCGGAGAGAGAGAGGUGGAAAUGUUAAAUAUAGUACUCAUGGAAGGAAUCCUCAAAAAAAUUAAAAACUUCACAACAACAACAAAAAACCCUAGUUAUAUACCUCUCUGUGCAAUGCCCCAAAGAAAAACAUUCCCAUUCCAAGGGGGUAGAAUUAUGUCACACUAGGGAAUUCUCAGCUAACCCAGAUAUUCCCCAUGGGUAUUCCCAGGGGCUCUUCUAGACUUUGUAAUUUUAUCUCUCUGUAUGAAACCCACAGAAGGUCUGCAUCCAGCUCCCGUACACAAGACCCUUGCUCUUAUGACCCUUGCUCUAAUUCUGCUGCUCACUGAAUUCUAUCAGCCAGCUCUCCUGGCAAGGUCACACAGGUUUCAUGCACAUAGCCUUGAUUGCGAACCACUUCGGACUGACUUUAUGUAAACAUCGUUGGUGUGUUUUGUGGACUUAACCAUUCAAACCUGCCCUACCCAGGGAAUGUCUGGGUCAGGAAACAGGUCAUGUGUAAACUUAGUAAGCAUUGCUGGAGAAUAUUGCUGGAAUCACAGAUCAUUUCACAACCCUCAUGAUUGGUGAGGUUCUCCACACUGAGCCCUCAACCGCUGGGUGGAGGCCUCUGUAGCCUAAGGUGUCCUGGUGAGGGUAUAGUUCCAUUCCCUGUGGCUUUUUUGUUAUAUCUUAGCCACUAAAGUCUUAGCCCCUUCCCCAAAUGCCCACUGGCCACUGGAGUACUUGCUUUGAUCAAGUGUUCCUGGAGUUUGCUGCUCAGCUUUUAUUGUGGCUGAAUGUCUUCCUCUGGUUGAUUUGUGGGUGUUCUUUCUGUGUUGUGGAGGUGGAUGAAAAUCUUACUUUCCUAAGGUUAUUCUCUGAGAAAUAUGUGUUCUAAAUAUGUGCUGAAGUCUAAUUUAUCCAUGAUCGCUAUUUGAGGUAAUUUAUUUUAUUUUAUUGAUUUUAUUAUUGAUUUUAUUGAGCUCAACAUUUUUCUCUGCUCCAUUGUGUACCACAUUUUCUUUAUCCAUUCUUCAGUCGAGGGGCAUUUAGGUUGUUUCCAAAUUCUGGCUAUGACAAACAAUGCUGCUAUGAACAUAGUUGAGCACAUGUCCUUGUGGGACGAUUGAACAUCCUUUGGAUAUAUACCCAUAUUUUGGGUAAUUUUUAUGCCUUGAGAUAUUGUUGGCCCCAAAGGUAUCAAGACAUUUAUUUAUAAGACAAAUUUCUAGAGCAGUAUUUCUCAAUCUGUGGGUUGUGACCCCUUUGGAGGUCAAAGGGCCCUUUCACAGGGGUCAUCUAAGACUUUCUGAAAACAUAAAUGUUUACUUUAUGAUUCAUAACUGAUGUGGGAGUGUCAUAUAUCAAUCUGUUGAUUUCAUUGGCUGAGCAAUAAAAGAAACUGCUUGGCUGGCCCUGAUAGGUUAAAAGAUAGAUGGGAGGAGGAAACAGAAUAGAAUUCUGGGCGGAAGAGGAAGUGAGGUCAGACUCUGCUCUGCUCCCGGAGAGACUCUGCUCUCCGGAUCACAGACGCCAUGCUCAGCUCUCCCGGGUAGACGCGAUAGCUCUGCUCUCUGAGGCACACGCGAUGAAGAUGGAUGUAGGCUAGAAUCUUCCCGUUCACAGGACAGCCAAGCUGGACAGAAGAUGUCAUUGAACGAGGGGACCCUGUUCCAGCCCUAGUAAACAGCAGAACUUGGCAGCUCCAACUGCAUGGUUCUGGCUUUAGAACCAAGGAUAGAUCAAAAGAAACAUGGAAUAUUCCUCUACAACUGAGGACAGCUGCUGAAGCCAGGCUUGUGUCAGGAGUGUCCCUGAAUGGUGGCCCAGAGAUGCCAUUGCAUGAAGCCGUGAAGGUGGAGCCUUGGAUAGCCUUCGAGAUCCCAAGAUGUUGGAAAUGCUAGAGCCAUGGAAGGCCUGCUGAGGACAGCUGCUAACAGGAAGUGGAACAGAUCAAGAGCAUCCUGCUGCAAUCGACAAAGCUGAAAGGAGUUGGAGAUCUGAAGAGCUCUUUGACAUCACACGUGGAGAUGCAGAGUCUGGAGUUUUCCCAGUUGUUCUUCGGUCUUGCUUUGGUCCAAUGUUUUCUUGCUUACACCCUCUUUCCCACAUUUUGGAACGGUAUAUCCUGUGCCAUUAUAUGUUGGAAGUCUGAUCUUUUUUAUUUUUAUUUUACAGAGGAUUACAGUUAAGAGACUGAAUCUCAGAAGAUACUUUGAAUUUUAGACCUUUAAAUAAGUUUAAGACUGUUAUAAACUAUGGGGACUUUUGAAGUUGGACUGAAUGCAGUUUUGCUUGUGAAAUAGCUAUAAGCUUAUGAGGGCCAGGGAGUGAAAGUGUUGGUCUAAAAGAAAAUAGCUCCCACAGGUGUGGCAGCUUUGUGGAGUAGGUGUGGCUUUGUUGAAGGAAGUGUGUCACUACAGGGGUGGGCUUUGAGGCCUCCUAUGCUCAAACUGCACCCAGAGAAACAGUUCACUUCCUGUUGCCUGCAGAUCAAGAUAUUAAAAUCUCAGCUCCUUCUCCAGCACCAUUUCUGCCUGCUCGCCACCGUGUGUAGCCAUGAUGAUGAUGGACUAUAAACCUCUGAAAAUGUAAACCACCCCAAUUAAAUGGUUUCCCUUAUAAGAGUUGCCAUGGUCAUGGUGUCUCUUCACAGCAAUAGAAACCCUAACUAAGGCAGGUGCUGAUCAGUUUAGUGAGAUAGGUGAGUGCCUUGGAAGAGGCAGGCAGAUCCUGGAGGUCACAUGAGCUGAGAAGGACAGAGACUGACAAGCACAGGGAAGACCUGGCCACCUUGCUAGCUGUGCAGCUGGAAUCCAGUAUUGGUCAUCAGUGCUGGGCUGGCUCUUAUAGCCAACGGGAAGCAUCAAUACCUCUUGUUCUAUACCUCAUGGAAGAGCUGAAGGAAAGGAGAUGGCAGCACCACUCAGCCUGGGUUAGUUCUAAAGGACCAGGGUUCCAGGCAUCUAGCACUGUUAGAUCAAAGAUGUCUCUGGUGUAAGCCACUGUACAUGAAAGAACUUGUUAUAACCACAAGGACAAAUCAGGACAGCAGUUAGCAUUCAUUUCUCACACAUUCUGAAACCUAAUGUAAAGGUUAAAACUAUACCACUGCCAGGAGGGCAGACAAACACUCACAUAUAACCAGGAAGGAUUUUCCAGCUGAUGGUGGAGAAUAACCCAUCUCACUGGCGGCAUGAUCAACCUUGCUUCCCCUCCAUUGACAUGGAAUCAUCCAGAUACCCCAGUCAGUUCCUGUCAGCUCCUCAGAGUGUUUCUAGACUUCUUUUCCAUUCCUGCAUCCUCCCUGUGUGCUGUUUAAGUGGGUCCCUUGUGUCUGGUGACUUGACAGGCCCCAAUUCCUGUAUCCUCCCUGUGUGACUGUUUAAGUAGGUCCCUUGUUGUGUCUGGUGACUUGACAGGCCCCCGUUCUUCUACUUCAUGUUGGUUUUCACUGCGAGUUUUAUUGCCCCACAGAUCACCUUCCAUUCAUAGGAAGCCACCUGGACCUUCACUUGAAGCACAUGAGAAAGCUGUGGUUCCCCUGGAGAGCAGGACAUCCUGGCAGCACAGGGCUGUUUCCAUCAUCCAAGACUUCUCACUGCUGCAUGCAUGACAGUAUGUGUAUAAGAGACUUUAUCUUUCCUCUGCAGUUAUCGUAGGGGUGUGGAGUAUGAGAAAUGACUGUAGGUGUGUGUUGUGCUGUUACAAGUAUGUGAAAGUCUUCCUGGUCUCAUGCAAAGGUUCCACCUGUAUCUGAGUAAGUAGCCAUUCCCCAAGAAGUGUCUUUUUAAACUGCUGGCUGCCUUGGUUUCCUUAUUCUCCUCAGCCAUGGGCUCAAGUGGCCUUGCUUUAGCUCAGUGUGUGUCUCCAGAUUCUCAGGAGCAACCCUGGACUGGAGUCAGAGGAACGUUCCCUGCCAAGAUGGAAAUCUGUCUCCGCUCUGACGCGCUAAGAUCGUAUUAUUUGCUAACACUUGCUCAGCCACUGUCAAGGUGACCGCAGCUAUGGUAAGCUGUUGUCCUGGACUUGCUGAUGCUGAAUGCUCUUACCCGUGGUGUGGCAAUGCAUGGCCACCCUCUUCAGCGCGUCGUUCCGUAGUCUUUGCUAGAGUUCGCUCUUACCAGAAUUUAAAUGACUCACACCUGCUUCAUAAAGCUGGUCACUAUGUUCUCCCACAUUCCCGAGGCCCCAGAUGUGCAUGAAUUUAUAACUAUUUUCUAUCUUUAAAAACCAUUUUCGUCUAGACCCACAAAGCCGUCUAAGUCCGGUGUCAUUUUUGUGGGAUGCUCUAUUGCUACAGUCGUAGCUUUUAUUGCCUUUAUUUUUGGAAGCUCAAAUUUUUCAAGAUAUUUUUUACUGAUAGUGAAUUGUAAGAGUCCAUGUUAAU